CCUCUGGCGCGCAAGCGCAAACCUAGAGGGCGGAAGUGUGUGACCUCACCCGCCUGCGCACUUCCUCCUUCCGGCCCUGGCCUCCGUUGGGCUUGGUUGUGCAGUUGGCAAAGGGAAGGGGCUGAGCCAGGGGAGUGUAGCGCUUUUUUUGGUUUAGAUGCUGCUCAUAACAGCUGUGCGGCGUGGGGAAGCACUGUGCGGAAAGGCAAAUUACGGUAAAAGUAGGUCCCAACUCUACACAUGGCCAGCUAAUUUAUCUCGCCUUCUGAACCUGUUAGCUCAGCUCAGAAAUGGAGGCCAUCGUAUGUCUUAGAAUAAUACCAGCUUCUUGGAUUGCUGUGAAGAGUAAGUGAGAUCGUUUAUGACACACUUUGUAAACGCAAGUAAACCAUUUAAGUGUGACCAGGUGCCAGAGGUGAGAGCAUUCACCAGAGACAGAGUGGGGAGCAGAAGAGGCAGAUGGACUGAAAAACAUUGCUGAGAGGAGCAUCAGAAGCAUGUUGUCCUUGUCAGCAGGACAUUGCACAGGCCAUUCCUUCUGCCUGGAGCCCUCUUCAGUCUCCCAUCCCCCAUCAACCUCAGCACGUACUCAUACACACUUUUCUCUGGGCAACUUCUACUCAUCCUCUGUGUUCCAGCUUUUGGGUCCCUUUCUCCUUGGUCAGCAUUAAAUGUUCCUAUUACAUGUUCUUAUAACGUUCAAUGCAUCUAUUAUGGUAGACACUCUAUCGUAGUAGUAUUCUGUGUUCCCCAGAAAGAGACAUUGGAAAGAAAAACGUCAAAUUCAGGCCAAUGACUUUCCUGUUUUUGUUUUUGUUACUUUCCCCGGGUAUUGCUGGUGAAGAGAAGAAUAUGAAUGCUGCUUUCACUCACAUUCUGUGACAGCACAAACAGGAGCAUUGUGACUCAUGGCUUGUGCAGGACUGCUUAUGGCCAAGUGUAACAGGCCUGUGUAUUGGAUUUCAGGUCCUACUAGUGAGAAAAUUCAUAUGACAUGCUUUUCUCACCCCACCCCCAGCUGUGUCGCUUGCACUGAGCAGGAGUUCCAAAAUAACACUCCACCUUCCAGCUAUCUCUUUGCCUUCAUCAAUGAGCACAAGCCCUUCAGUUUACAUUCAAGGAGAAGUGCCUUACACUGUUUAGCUGUUUUGAUGAAGCAUUGGGAACUUGGCAGAGAGAGGUCUUAGAGGAAGACGCUUGUGUGCCCUUUGGUACUGAGGGUGGGAUUUCAUUCCUAAAAUGAGAAGGGUCACAAGCUGGAGCAGCCAGUUUAAACUUUGUAGAUUAACACUAGCAACAUUAUCUCCAGGGCCCAUGGGACAGUGUAGCCCAGACUUGGAACAGGACCUGUUAUUGUUAUUCUCCUUUUGAUCCCAGAUCUAUUUUAACUCACACACCGUCACUUCCUACCAAACAAUUCAUUUUACAGCAAAAGAAAUGUGGCAGUGGGCUCACGUUUGCCCUUGGACCUCGCUGGUUUCAUCACCUUACUUAUUGGGCAAGGCAGUCAAAAGAAUAUACCUCCAAACUGACCCUGAAGCUGGAACUAGGCUCCAUAAGGCUACUUAGCCACCUCCCCUGGCGUGUGAGUUCCCAGAAGCUGCUCCAUGGGUUCUGCCUUGAGAGUGUUAGCAUGGAACCAAGGGGCACCUAGGGACCCCAAACUAUCAAGUUCUGCCUUCUCUGAAAGGCAUUAGACCAUCUACACACACAAAGAUAAAAGAAAAGAAACAUACUCUUGGGCCUCCCCCGUGGCACAGUGGUU